rnacentral:rRNA from 1 species
GCGUCUGAAGGUACCUCCAAAGGAAGCUCCGGCUAACUCCGUGCCAGCAGCCGCGGUAAUACUGAGGGAGCAAACGUUGUUCGGAUUUACUGGGUGUAAAGGGUGCGUAGGCGGCUACGUGUGUCAGAGGUGAAAGCUCACGGCUCAACCGUGGAACUGCCUUUGAAACUGCGUAGCUUGAGUCCGAGAGAGGAUGGUGGAAUUCCUGGUGUAACGGUGAAAUGUGCAGAUAUCAGGAAGAACACCGGUGGCGAAGGCGGCCAUCUGGCUCGGUACUGACGCUGAGGCACGAAAGCUAGGGUAUCGAACGGGAUUAGAUACCCCGGUAGUCCUAGCCGUAAGCGAUGUCCACUAGGUGUCGGAGGUCCUACCCCUUCGGUGCCGGAGCUAACGCAUUAAGUGGACCACCUGGGGAGUACGCUCGCAAGAAUGAAACUCAAAGGAAUUGACGGGGGCCCGCACAAGCGGUGGAGCAUGUGGCUUAAUUCGAUGCAACGCGAAGAACCUUACCCGGGCUAAAUCACCGGCGACCGGUCCCGAAACGGACCAUCCCUUCGGGGCGCCGGCGAAGGUGCUGCAUGGCUGUCGUCAGCUCGUGCCGUGAGGUGUUGCCUUAAGUGGCGCAACGAGCGCAACCCCUGUGGUUAGUUACCAGCACGUAAUGGUGGGGACUCUAGCCAGACUGCCUACGCAAGUAGUGAGAAAGGUGGGGACGACGUCAAGUCAUCAUGGCCCUUAUGUCCGGGGCUGCACACGUGCUACAAUGGACGGUACAGCGGGAAGCCACCACGCAAGUGGGCGCAGAUCCCGAAAGCCGUUCCCAGUUCGGAUUGGAGUCUGCAACUCGACUCCAUGAAGGUGGAAUCGCUAGUAAUCG